GUGAACGCUGGCGGUAGGCCUAACACAUGCAAGUCGAACGGCAGCACAGUAAGAGCUUGCUCUUCCGGGUGGCGAGUGGCGGACGGGUGAGGAAUACAUCGGAAUCUACUUUUUCGUGGGGGAUAACGUAGGGAAACUUACGCUAAUACCGCAUACGACCUACGGGUGAAAGCAGGGGAUCUUCGGACCUUGCGCGAUUGAAUGAGCCGAUGUCGGAUUAGCUAGUUGGCGGGGUAAAGGCCCACCAAGGCGACGAUCCGUAGCUGGUCUGAGAGGAUGAUCAGCCACACUGGAACUGAGACACGGUCCAGACUCCUACGGGAGGCAGCAGUGGGGAAUAUUGGACAAUGGGCGCAAGCCUGAUCCAGCCAUACCGCGUGGGUGAAGAAGGCCUUCGGGUUGUAAAGCCCUUUUGUUGGGAAAGAAAAGCAGCAGGCUAAUACCCCGCUGUUCUGACGGUACCCAAAGAAUAAGCACCGGCUAACUUCGUG
rnacentral:rRNA from 1 species